GAAAUGCGAUAAGUAGUGUGAAUUGCAGAAUUCAGUGAAUCAUCGAAUCUUUGAACGCACAUUGCGCCCUUUGGUAUUCCAAAGGGCAUGCCUGUUCGAGCGUCAUUUGUACCCUCAAGCUUUGCUUGGUGUUGGGCGUCUUGUCUCUAGCUUUGCUGGAGACUCGCCUUAAAGUAAUUGGCAGCCGGCCUACUGGUUUCGGAGCGCAACACAAGUCGCACUCUCUAUCAGCAAAGGUCUAGCAUCCAUUAAGCCUUUUUUCAACUUUUGACCUCGGAUCAGGUAGGGAUACCCGCUGAACUUAAGC
rnacentral:misc_RNA from 1 species